rnacentral:rRNA from 1 species
UACGUAGGUGGCAAGCGUUGUCCGGAUUUACUGGGCGUAAAGGAUGCGUAGGCGGACAUUUAAGUCAGAUGUGAAAUACCCGAGCUUAACUUGGGUGCUGCAUUUGAAACUGGGUGUCUAGAGUGCGGGAGAGGUAAGUGGAAUUCCUAGUGUAGCGGUGAAAUGCGUAGAUAUUCGGAAGAACACCAGUGGCGAAGGCGACUAACUGGACACGUAUUGACGCUGAGGUACGAAAGCGUGGGGAGCAAACAGG